rnacentral:tRNA from 1 species
GUUUUAAUAAUUUAAUGAAAAUAUUGGUCUUGUAAACCAAAAAUAAGAUAACCUUUUAAAACU